CUCUUCUUAAUUCCCUUGAGUUUGAAUAUAUCAUAACUUGAUCUCUAGCAUAAUAGCUCCAUAUGACAUUUUCAUUUAAAUAAUUAUUUGCUAAUUCGUGUACGAUAGUUGAUAUACCAAUAUUCUUUUAUUGGCAUAAAAACUUGAUAUUUCUAUCUUUGGUAUUUCAUUCUGAUGCCCAAUAUCUUCUGGUAUGAUCAUAUCUUUUGUUAAUCCUAUCUUAAUAACUUGAAUUGGAGAUUUUACCUCUUCAUAUAAUAUUUCUGCUGGUGCUGUAUAAAACUUAAUAUAAAAUAAGUUUCCUUUUGUAACUCUUUUAUAUGUAAUAAAUGCUUUGUAUAACUCUUGUACUCUAGUUUUUGGUUGUGCUAUAAGUCUAUUGUAUCCGUGCAAUUGUUGAGUUAUAUAGUCUUGACUUGGAUCUUUUGUUUGGUUAGAUCUGGGGUUGAGAUUUAAAUAAGUUUGAAUUCUAUAUAUAUUUUCAAUGUAGGUUUGUGUAAUAUAAUUGUAACUUUUCUUUUCACUCUGAUUUUGUAUACUCACUGCAUAGGUAGAAGUUUGUGGUUCUAUGUGUAUUUUUUUUGGUGUAUUUUGAAUAAAUGGUUUUGCAAAUAAUUGGCUUAAAUUUAUAUUUUUUGGUUUUUCACUAACUUUUCUGCUUGUACCUGCAGCUUAAUUUAAACAAACAUUAUGGGUUUUAGGGAGUUUCCCAUCGUCUCCUUUUAUCUCUGGAAUUUUACCGUCUUCCGAUCGACGUAGCUCCGCAUUUUUAUAGUCAUGCUGCUGACUUAUAUUAGCUUUAGACUUCAGGUUAUCUUCAUUAGUCUUUAGCUUUUGUAUCUCAUUGUCCAUACUAUCCACUUUAGUACAAAGUGUAGUAAUGGCUUUGAGUAGCUUUUCAAUUGUAUCUUCGUCUUUGUUUUCAGUUUGAGUAGCUUUGUCUUGAUAAGUAGUCUGCAAUACCAUUCUUAUUAGUCUUUAUCACUUCAAUUGUAAAUGAAAAGUUUAAUAUAUUUAAUACCAAUCUUCUAAUUUCUUUCGUUGUUACUGAA
rnacentral:lncRNA from 1 species